rnacentral:rRNA from 1 species
UACGUAGGGUGCGAGCGUUGCUCGGAAUCACUGGGCGUAAAGGGUGCGUAGGCGGGUCUUUAAGUCAGGGGUGAAAUCCUGGAGCUCAACUCCAGAACUGCCUUUGAUACUGAGGAGCUUGAGUCCGGGAGAGGUGAGUGGAACUGCGAGUGUAGAGGUGAAAUUCGUAGAUAUUCGCAAGAACACCAGUGGCGAAGGCGGCUCACUGGCCCGGUACUGACGCUGAGGUGCGAAAGCGUGGGGAGCAAACAGG